CGCUAUCACUCCUACGGGAGGCAGCAGUGGGGAAUAUUGCACAAUGGGCGCAAGCCUGAUGCAGCCAUGCCGCGUGUGUGAAGAAGGCCUUCGGGUCGUAAAGCUCUUUCGCCUGUGAUGAUAAUGACAGUAGCAGGUAAAGAAACCCCGGCUAACUCCGUGCCAGCAGCCGCGGUAAUACGGAGGGGGUUAGCGUUGUUCGGAAUUACUGGGCGUAAAGCGCGCGUAGGCGGAUUAGUCAGUUAGAGGUGAAAUCCCAGGGCUCAACCCUGGAACUGCCUUUAAUACUGCUAGUCUUGAGUUCGAGAGAGGUGAGUGGAAUUCCGAGUGUAGAGGUGAAAUUCGUAGAUAUUCGGAGGAACACCAGUGGCGAAGGCGGCUCACUGGCUCGAUACUGACGCUGAGGUGCGAAAGUGUGGGGAGCAAACAGGAUUAGAUACCCUGGUAG
rnacentral:rRNA from 1 species